GCCCCCUGCACGCUUGGUCUGCCCGACCCCCCCAGGAGCCCACCCACCCCACCAGGAGCGAGUUCAAAAUGCGAAGCUUCAGAUUCACAAGAACCAGCGGAUCCCAGGUUAGAGGACAGUUCUGGAUUUUCUGAGUUCUCUUGUGUCACUGUGACUCGCCUUCCUGAGAUUUCGUCCACCUCUGAGUUUCUCACAUCAGCGGUGAACACUGUCUGGUGGGGAAACACCAUCUUCUGUAUCUGUGUGAUUUCAUUCUGCCAAGUUGUUCUCUCCCUGUGCCGGCAUAGUCCCUUACGCCCUUGAGUGCCCAUGAGGGCCGACCCUGCGUUCACAGAUGACAGGACGCCCGAGGCGUGGAUGUCGUUUAUUACCCGAGCUUAUUUUGAAGGGACUGACUUCCUGUUCAGACGGAACAUCAGCAUGAGUGCCGGCGAGCAGUAGGUGGGCCCCAAGGAAGGCGCAGAAAAUCGGGUGUCAGCCCGGCGCCUGCGUCCCCCUGGAGCCUCGCGCCUCCUCAGGCUCCAGGAGGUGGGCGGACAGGCGCUCGCCCCUGAGACAGGCCGAGGGGGUCGAAGUGCUGAUGGCUCGAGAAGGCCCCUGCUCUCCCCUCCAGUGACCUCUGGCCUCUGGCCUGUGGUCAAUGCGUGAACAAAAUGCCGCGGCCGCUCAGCGGUGGUCUUUCUGGACAGCACGGGUCAAGCGCCCCAGGCAGGCGCCUCCUGCGCGUGGGCCCUGCUCUCACUCCUGACGCCAGCGCUGCCCAGAACGCCGAGGCCUGGGUGCCCUCACCAGACAUGGCCCGGGCAGGGGCACUGCCAGGGCAGGGGGACCCCUCCUGGGACCGUAGGUGCAGGCUUCCCGCCGGGUGCUUCGGGCUUUGUGAGGGGCUGCCAGCGCCCUCCCAUGUCAAACGGCUGAGAGAGCCCCGCGGUGCGGCUUUUUACCAGGUGCGUUGAAGGACAUGGUGCUUGCUCUGGCCAAGACGCUGGGCUGAAGGGGGGUUCCCCACCUACCCCCACAAGUGUAAGAUGCAUAGAGUGCUGCCUCGCUAAUUCCCUUUAGAAGAUGGCAUCUCUGCAAAAUGUGGAACCAGGGACAUCGGCUCUCAAAGACGAUCCGUUUGUCAGACAGCCGGCUCCCCGUCCUCGUCAGAAAGGGGGGGUCGUAUGGGGAGCAGGUGGGCCAUUCUGCCCCACUCCAGCGGGCUGUGCCCACUGCUGGGCUGACAGAUUUCUGUUGGAGAGACCGAGGUGCUGCCCACUCGGUGUGUCUGGAUCGGGGAGCCCCCCUGGCUGCGAGGGGUCAUUGCCCCAUUGGGAGGAGGACCCUGGAGCCUAACAUCACGACCACUCCGUGUUAAAAUCCAGCACAAAUAUCUAAUUGUCACGGCUCUUUUUUUUUUUAAGUCUUUGCUCAAUUUUAUUAAUUUUUUUAUCGUUGUCCCUAUAACAUAUUUGUGAUUAUUUCAUAUUUAUUUUUUUAAAUUUAUUUUUAUAUUCCCCAUACAAUUGUAACCCCCUUAUUUUAACCCCAAUCCCUCCUUUCCCUGCCCCCCCCCAUAGUGUGUCUCUGGUUCAUAGUUGUUUGUUGAUUUGAUUUUUUCUUUCUUAUAGUUAUUCUUCUUCCUGGUCCCUUAUUUAGGUUUUCUAGAUUCCUGCUAUGAGUAAGACCCUCCGGUAUUUUUUUUUUUUUUAAGAUUUAUUUGUUUAUGCAUACAAGAACCGGGGUACAGGCCAGAAGUGUGGGGGGGGGGUGAGAGGAUUCCCCAGAGGCAGAGUGGGGAGCAGAACAGGCGGAUCCACUGAAAUCCACUCCUGAGGGGAGCAGCGGGGAGACGGGAGAGUCUGCUGCGCCCUGUGGGUCGCUCCCUGGCCGGGGAUGGAACUCGUGCUGCAGUGGCUGCAGACAGCUCCAUAGUGCUGAGACUUAAC